rnacentral:rRNA from 1 species
GCCCUUAGAGUUUGAUCCUGGCUCAGGAUGAACGCUAGCUACAGGCUUAACACAUGCAAGUCGAGGGGCAGCAUGAUUGAAGCUUGCUUCAAUCGAUGGCGACCGGCGCACGGGUGAGUAACACGUAUCCAACCUGCCGAUAACUCGGGGAUAGCCUUUCGAAAGAAAGAUUAAUACCCGAUAGUAUAGUAUUUCCGCAUGGUUUCACUAUUAAAGAAUUUCGGUUAUCGAUGGGGAUGCGUUCCAUUAGAUAGUUGGCGGGGUAACGGCCCACCAAGUCAACGAUGGAUAGGGGUUCUGAGAGGAAGGUCCCCCACAUUGGAACUGAGACACGGUCCAAACUCCUACGGGAGGCAGCAGUGAGGAAUAUUGGUCAAUGGACGAGAGUCUGAACCAGCCAAGUAGCGUGAAGGAUGACUGCCCUAUGGGUUGUAAACUUCUUUUAUACGGGAAUAAAGUGGAGUAUGCAUACUCCUUUGUAUGUACCGUAGAAUAAGGAUCGGCAACUCUG